UACUUCUCUCUCCAUUUUUCUUCUUUAUUCUUCUUCUCAUCCUCCCAAAAUACAACUCAUUCUCCUCUUCUUUUCCUCUCGCCACACACCAAAAUUUCCCUCCCUCAAUUCGACCCGCCCGUCGCUGCUGAUGACCGCCCCGACAAACGCCUUAAGACCGAUGCUAGGGUUUCUCCUUCAAGAGAUAUAAAUCAUUCCUUUGUGUGCAUAGUACAGUUCAAGAAACUUGAAUGUUAGGGUUUGUGUGAAAAUGACCCAUCGAUCACGACUGGACCUAUCAUGGUGGUUCACGGGGAUUGGGCUGCUAAGCCUCAACGCACGGUGCGAGCACUUGGUGGAGCUGAGCAUCCUCGGCGUUGCUGCGAUGGCGCAUGCGCAGAACCUGCGGAAGUUGUGGCUAGCGAGGUGCAAGAUGGUGACGAAUAUGGGGAUUGGAUGUAUUGUGAUGGGGUGCAAGAAGCUUAAGCUAAUUUUCUUGAAGUGGUGUGUGGGAAUUGGGGAUUUGGUUGCAAUUAAGUGUAAGGAGCUCACAACAUUGGAUCUCUCUUAUUUUCCUGUGAGUUUUUUUCUCUCUCUCUUUUUCUCUUUCUGGUGUUCAUUAUUCGUUGAUUGAAUCUGGUUAUGGAUUAUUGGUGGAUAGUUGGUGAUAUUUUCUAUGUUUGGUUUAAUUGAUUGGAUUAGCUUAUUUUCAUGAUAAAGAAGCAGUUGAUUGGAUUGACUUAUGUACUAAAUUUAAAGGUUUAGAUUUCACAUAUUCACCCCUUUGUACAUUCUUUAGGUUGCAUUUUUCAUAGCCAUGUAGCAGAGAAUCUGUCUGCUUAACCACAAGGUUAUUCUCUUCAUAGUGAUCACUAGAGUUAGAAGCAGAGUCAUAUCUCAUCCCAUCAAAACCAUGCUUAGUACCCUUUCUAUGAUUUUUAGUGUUAUUAUAAGCAAAUGCUUCCCCAAUAAAGUAUGCAUUCAAAUCCAAGGAAGAGUUCUUGUAAGGCAAAGGAUUGGUAAAACUUUGAAAAUUUCUCCGUUGAUUUAUAUCCUAGCGGGAUUUCUUAUCCUGGAAAUCAAAACCAUGCAAGGAGCCAAAGUCACCUCUGACCAUAUUAUGAAUCUUGGGAAUUGAUUUUAGUAAAAUAUGAAUCACAUCUUUGCCAACAAUACAUGAGGAAAAAAGAGUGAGAGGCUAGGAAAUUAACAAUUAAGCACUGAUUUUAAAGAAACUACCACUCACCCUAAGCUUGUAAGUUGUAAUAUUUGAUGAAUCUUUACUACCUAAAUGUCUUACUAAGUUUAUUAUAUUCAGAUUGAGUUGUGCUUGAUGUUAUCAUGAGGUCAAAGAAGUUAAAAAAUUAAAUAUUUUUAUAUUCCAAACUCAGUGAUUUGUAUCAUGCAAGUUUUGUAGUUUUUGUGUCAUAUUUUGGAACCUUUUCCUUUUCCAUUCAUGAAUAGAACUUGGAUAUAUCUGAUGUCUUUGUUCUACACAAUGUUGAUGAGCCUACCGUGUGAAGUUUGAAUGGUUGUAAGGUUGUAGAUCAAAUUCUGAAGCUUGUUCCUAAUGUUGAGGUAUUUUUAGGAUGUUUCUUCUGAUUGCAUUAACCCUUCCAUUUCAUAAUAUUUACUGUUCACCUAAUACUUCUACACUUUAUUUUUUAUGGCUUAUAGCACUUUCUCACAACACUUUGUUGCUUGAAAUUUUGGGCCAAAGGGCGAGGCAUUUAUUCUAAUGUUUUCUUGGUGGUGUUAACUUGGCACUUCUUGUAGCUUGAGUGUGCCAGUUUUAUCUAAAACCAAUUCCAAGUAUGCUUGCUUCUAGAUUCUUCAGGGUAUAUACACAGUGGCAAUGGCCAACUUCUGUCAUGUUAUGUCCAAUAGAGGAGAAUGAUCUUGGGUUUCCUGUUUGGCAUCCUGGAAAAAAAUCCUUGUGACAGAUCCCAUCAUAUGUCAAUCAUUACCCCUGCCUAUCCCUAUAUGAAUUCUAGUUUUAAUGAUUCUAUGAGCACACUUCGUGUAAUGAUGUAGCAGUUUCAAUAUGGCAACAAAAUUUGUGGGGAAAUAUAAUUGAGUAAAGCUUGUUGGAAGGCUCUGUUUGAAAAGUACAGUGUCUUUGAAAGCUAUAAAAACUACUUGCAAGUUGAUGCUGAUGACUUGCACAAUUGGAAAGGUUGGGUGGAAUCAUGCCUUCACCAACUAACUUUGAUGGUGUAAAACAGAUGUUAGUCAACUGUUUUUUAUUGGCAAGAUUAUUUUACUUGACUGAAACUAAAAGAAAGGUUGGGUUUAGGAAAUGGGAAGAAUCUUGAUCUUGAACAAUGCUCUUGAUCAAAGCUUCAAAAACAGUGCAUCAAGUAUUUGGGACCUAUAUGUGCAUCUUCGAUUUGAUUGUGUGUGAAUAUUAUAUAUAUUUUUUAAAUGCAUGAGGUUGUUUGACAUGUUGCUCUAUUUUUAUAUUCUUUUUUCUACUGGUUAUUAUUUUCUUAAAUUAGCAAGAGAGAGAACGGUAUGAAUACAUUGAGCGUGUGGGCAAAAUUAUCGACUAGCAAUAUGGAGAUUUGCUUCACACAAAUGAAGAUUCUGAAGAUGCAAAAUGGAUAUUUGUAAUGAGCAAGAAACUUUAUGUUGUCAAGGUAACAAUUCAAGGGUAGUUACAUUUUAAAGUUACUUAUUUUCUUUAAAGACAAUUACCAUGUCUUUCUUGUACCACUAUUACAUUGCAUUAAUCUUGUAGAAAAAGAAACAUUAUUUCAUCAUUCUAGUGUUUUGGCUGGAGGAGCUACAUUAGCUGCUAGAAGGCUGGUGGAAGAGAAUGGAAUUCUUAAGGUGAAUUAACUUCAUAGGUUGCAUGACUAAACUAUUGUGCUAAUGGAACUUCUUAUGAUAUUUGUCUGCUAGCUUUUAUAGUGACAAGGAGAUAGUGGAUUGCAAAUGUGACAUGCCUAAUUUAUGUGAAUUGCAAAUGUUUGAUUAUCAAUGGCACAAUGGCUUUGAUUUUUCAAUCUA